UCGCGACCCCAGGUCAGGCG
rnacentral:rRNA from 4 species